CUCAAUUCCUAUACCUUGUUAAACCCAUCUCUAAAUGAAGAUAAUAAUCCAAAUUGCUUCACUCAGUUGCUUUGAGAAUUAAUUUCUUUGGAAAUCAAAGUUCUGUAGCUUUCAAAAAAUUAAUGCAAAAUGCUCAGCACAAUGGCCACAUGGGAUUCUUGUGUGUUCCUGGGACUCUACCCCAUUGACAAAGCCACUUCCAGACUUCCGGGCUCCGGGAAGAAACAAGGAUGAAGAAAGAACAUAAAGGUUACCUGGGCUGGAAAAGGAGAGAAAAAUCAGACAGAGGAAGAGAGAUUAG